GUAAUUUAAUAUUUUAUUCAACAAGUCUGUGAACCAUACUGAUGUGUACAGAUCAGUGCUUUUCUUUGUAACAACAGCAGAGCAGCCUGUCAAUCUCCUGCUGUAGAACAUUUCUAUUUUUUCCACUUUUGAUGUAAUAUCCUGAUAUUAAGUUACAAGAGCAGCAGGCUAUAGGGCAUGGGAUGUGAAAUUGAUCUGGAUUUAAACCCCAGGUCCCAACUUACAGGUUUUAUAAUUUUUGGAAAAUUACCAAACCUCCCUGAGCCUCAGUUUCUUCAUCCCUUAUGAGCUAUACAUCCUUAAACUCUCAGGCUCCUCAUCUAUAAAAUGCAUGUCAGAAUGGCAGCUACAUCACGGGGUUGUUGUGAGGACAGAGGCUGCACACACAGCAGAGUGCUUAGCACAGUACCCGAACAUAAUAAGUACUCAACGAGUAGCAGGCCUCACUACCCCAGACUGCCCUGGCCUGCCAGCUCUCUUACGCUCCUAGGCACACACUGGGAGGGGUGUAACCCACUCCCCAGGUUUGUUACCAACAAACGUGCCUCGUGUUCUUUAAUCUUCAGGGGCUCCCCAAGGGCUAGGUUCUCCCUUUGUUCCUAUAAUCCACAGGGUACCCACUGUGGUGUCCUGCCAGCCAUCCAGUGAGUAAUAGUGGGUUCUGCCCAGCAAACAGAAUAGCAGUUAGUCACAAGCAACUGUCCCAGGGGUGGAGGGAAGACUCCAAAGGAGACCCUAGUUCUUCUGUUGAUGACUCUGUUCUCCAAGCCCCUCAUCUACCCACCUGCUGUUUCUUUUUCUGACAGCCCUCCUGGGAUAGAAGUUCCCUUCCCCCGCACUCCCAUCAGGACCUGGGACAGGCUUGUGUGUGAACAGCAAGCUCAUCUCACAGUGCCCUGGGAGGCUGACUCACUGGGUCUUUGGCACCUCUGACCCUUCCGCAGGUGCCACUGCUCUUGGAAGUGGCCUUGGCCAGGGAAGCCCUAAACAAGCAUGAAGGAAUCGCCCUAGGCCUGAGUGCAGAAAAAAGGCAAGACCGUCUAUCUGGCACAGAUAGAAUCUCAAGGUUCAGAACUUAAUAGACGUUUGAGUGGCAGGUUUUGCUUGGCAGCCAAAUUACCAUGUGAUAUUUAUACAUUCCUUCACUCACUCAUUCAUCAGUUAGUGAACACAAACUACAUGCCAGGCACUGUUCUAGACACUGCAGCUACAAAAGACAAGCUCCCUUGUGGAGUGUUUUAGUGAGGAGGAAUAAUUAAUCAAAAGAUAAGUAAGGUGUGUAGUACAUUAGAUGGUGGCAAGAGCUACAGAGAUAAACAGAACGGAAAAGAUGUGAGCUCACGGUCAGGAUAGGGUGUGGCCAGGGAAGCCCUCAUUCCUAACUUGAUAGUAAGGAGGUGAAAAGGGGUGCGUCUGUACAUCUAUUUUGAAGGUAGGGUGUGCACAGGGUGUGGGACACGUUGAUGGUGUGGGAGACUCAAGUCUGACUCAAAGGUUUGGGGCCUGGGCUCCUGGAAAGACAUGAGUUGGCAUUAACAGAGAUGAGGUGAGGAUGUUUGGAGUAGGGGUGGAGGACAUCAGAAGCUCAGUUUUUGAGAUGUUAAAUUUGGGAUGACUUUAGACAUCCAGUGGGGAUGGCAAGUAGGCAGCUGGGUGAAAACGAAUCCAGAACUCAGGGGAGAGGUCUGGACUAGAGCUAAGCGGGUGUUGUCAGUGUGUGGAUGACACGGCAUUUCUAGGUACUGACAUGGCUGGGCAUACAAAAGACAGCCAGGACAAACUCCAUGCUCUCUGACAUGGUAGACACGCCACACUGUGCAGACUCACCUCAUGCUACUGCACGCUACGCAGACCACUUAGCUUCAAUAUCCAAACUCAAGUAGUCUGUGCUUGUCCAUGGUCCAGACUGGCCCACCACCUUUCCCUCCUACACACAUGUACACGUGACCUGUGUAUUCUGGGAGCUCUCGGGAAACCCUCAGAGGUGACCUAAACCACCCACCUGCACUGGCUGGCCAGACACCACCUGCACCACUACUAGUGUCUGCUGCGUUCCCACAUGUGGCACUUCUGGGGUGCCCCUUGCCCUCAGGCCUGCCCUGAAGCCCAGAUCCCAAGCCAGAAUAGCCCACACCCAUUCGCAGGGUACCGUUUGCUGACUAAACACUCACAACCUGUCCUGAGGUCCGGUCUAGAAAGUGAACCCCAGUGCCUGCAGGAAGCACAGCCCAGUAGAAGGGAAAGGUCAAGGGGAGGGGACAGGAGCAUGCAGACGGAAGUCCAGGGAGCGGAGGAGAGGCACCUGCAGCAGCCUGGCAGACCGGGGGACACUUCCUGGAGGAAGCAACUUCUCAUCAGGUUUUGUAAGUAAGAGCAAACCAGGCAGUUGAAGGGUGUGUGUAGUUAGUGGAACAGGGCAUUUUAGGCUAAACUGCUAGAGCGGGAGAACUGAAUGGGGUGGGGCUGGGGGGUAAUGCAAAGAAUGUACCCAGCUGAUGCCAAGUUGCUAGAGGAAAAGACAGAAAAUGAGGGCAGCAGGAGACAAUGGCCUCGGGAAUGCAGGGUUACAUCACAAGCAGGGUGGGUAGCCAGGGGCAGGCUUCAAAGCCCGCGGGUGGUCUAAGGACCACCCCCAACACAACACCCGAACCUGAAGAGCCUGCCUAACACGGGAAAGCUGGGCCACAUCCAGACCAGCAGAAUUAGGAUAUAGACCCCAAGCAUCUGUGUCAUUUUCAUAAGCACUGCCACCCCUCUUCUGAUAAACACUACAUUAAACAACCACUAACCAAAGCUCUCCUGACCUUCCACUCUACCCUUAGUGAUGUGAAGCGGUUCUCAAAGACCCCGAAAGGCAGGAUGAUUCAUUUUCAGUUAUGGAUUUUGCUUGCAGAAGAUACUCCCUGCCAAACCGAGGGAGUUCUGGGAAUUACAGUCAGAUGAGGAUGAGGAGGAGGGUGGAGCAGAGAGAAGAAAGAAUUUCUGGCGGUGGGGAGAGAGGAGGGGAGUUGAGGGGGAUCAUGUUAAGUUGGGAGGCAGGGUGGGAGGUCCCAUUCAGGUACCCAGCAAAUAGGCCCUAGUCCUCCACUCUUCCCAGGCCUCAAGGACAGGGGACAAAGAACUAAGAAAGCAGCUGGUUUUUAUUCCACAAGUAAAUUCCACCGGCCACACAGUGACACAGACGCUUCGUCACACCCUGGUACCUAGGCUGGAGCAGCACAGUAACACUUCCUGCAAUGAUGGAAAUGCUUUUCUGCACUGUCCUAGACAGCAGCCACUGACUCUUGGUUAUUGAACACUUGAACUGUGGCCACUAUACCCAAAGAAAUGAAUUUCUAGUUAAAAUUCACUUAAAUUUGAAUGCCACAUUAAGCUUGUGGCUA